ensembl:snRNA
CUUUUCCUUUGUCAUGGGGUGAGAGAGCUGCUCAAUGAACGCCUAGUGAGAGGAGCCCUGCUAACACCAUAACAACACAUAUGCAUCACCUGGGCUCCUGUCCAGAAAAUGGUGCAAUUUUUGGAACA